rfam:Larimichthys crocea isolate SSNF unplaced genomic scaffold scaffold23, whole genome shotgun sequence.
ACAACGGCUCUUUUAAGAGCCACAGACAUGAACUAAGAGCGGCAAG